rnacentral:rRNA from 1 species
CCAGACUCCUACGGGAGGCAGCAGUGGGGAAUAUUGCACAAUGGGGGGAACCCUGAUGCAGCAACGCCGCGUGAAGGAAGAAGUAAUUCGUUAUGUAAACUUCUAUCGACAGGGAAGAAAGAAAUGACGGUACCUGAAUAAGAAGCCCCGGCUAAUUACGUGCCAGCAGCCGCGGUAAUACGUAGGGGGCAAGCGUUAUCCGGAUUUACUGGGUGUAAAGGGAGCGUAGACGGCAGCACAAGUCUGGAGUGAAAUGCCGGGGCUUAACCCCGGAACUGCUUUGGAAACUGUGCAGCUAGAGUGCAGGAGAGGAAAGUGGAAUUCCUAGUGUAGCGGUGAAAUGCGUAGAUAUUAGGAAGAACACCGGUGGCGAAGGCGACUUUCUGGACUGUAACUGACGUUGAGGCACGAAAGUGUGGGGAGCAAACAGGAUUAGAUACCCGUGUAA